CGCUUUAAAAAAAAAUCAUCUAGAUUCACUCCAAAGCUUUUGAAAGUGAAUUCCAAAGGUUCCCAACGUCAAGAAUCAGCCGUUUAAGGCAAAGCUGAACGUGACGUCGUCUUGUCUUCCUUGUGGCCGGAGACCGAGCACAUUUGAGCAAAAAGCACAUUUGCCCGAGCACAACGCAGCAGCUGCGUCUGGCUGCUGAGCGAUGAGCUCCGCCAGCCGGCGAGCUAAAAAUAUCGGCCGGCCAGCCAGUCACAGCGAAUUAGGUAAAGGAACGUAUAGAUCAUGUCAGCUGUUCGUCUUGGCCGCGGCGAGAAGCUGAAAGCAAAGAGCUCAAACAAUAUCGUUGGUCUGCGAGGCGCCAUAAUCCUCUCUUCUCGACCCUCGAGCGCACCGUGUCGAAAGGGGCGGUGUCACCUACGGCUGCCAUUUUUGUAUUCAACACGUGCACGAGACGUUCGUUAUUUCCAUUAAAAUUGGUGUUGAAAAACAAACACAAAAAAAGAGAAAAAUGAAAAAGGACCUCCGGCGAAAAACACAACGGAUUGUUUUGAUUUGUCGGGUUUCUGUAAUGUUUGGUGAAGAGCAUUCGUAAAGACUCACGAGCUUGCUCGCCACCAAAAUCGGUUCAAAGGGCGACUCAAAUCCAUCGGAUGAUCCAUCAGCCACUUUGGAUCGAGGACCAACGCGUUGGAAGCGGCGAAAGAUUCACAAAGAAAACGGCCAAAGUGCCAAUCCUGACUCAGUACUUUUCUUUCGCUAAGCCACGCCCCUGAAACAGAAAGUCGGACACUUCCUACUUUGUUGAAUUCAGUGACAUAUUUCAUGUUUUUUUGUGUUUUUGUUUUGGGUGGGGGGUUUGGUCUUUUUUAAUGUUCGCAGGCUAACGUUGCUAAAGCUAACGUUGACAUUUGUACCUCUCAAAUCCCAACAAGCGCACCAUUUUUCAAGCCCUAAAUGAACGACGCACUUAUUACAAUACAAUACAAUACAUGCUGAUGUGGCGCUAAGCUAACGGGGCUAGCUAUAGGCUCCUGGUUGCAAUGGACUUUGGUGUAAAGAUUGUCGGAUAGAUGUCGCAACGGUGAACCCCUUUCCCAUUCCCAUUCACCGAUCGACCUCUCUACAUAUUUUUGCGUUUCUUUCUGAAAAGCCGCCUCGAUUUUUCCCGUUCCUCCUAAUGGGCCAGGCUAGCAGAGGAGUCGCUAGCGACGAUCACCAGCCAACUGCAAACAGCAACGUGAUGAAGGAUUGUAGUCGAGGUCCCGAUAAGCUCACCAAAUAGCUUCAAUAGCAUCUCAUCAUUUUUUUUCCCAAGGUUAAUAUUGAAGGAUGACUUUGAAAUAAUGCUAAUGUGUUUUUGGAAUAAUUAGUGUUGUUUUUGUUCUCUGUUGUCGCGGCGUGGGUCUUAGCGAAAGCGAAAACGAAUCGACCGGACGGUUCAGUCUUGAUGUGAACAAAGCGUAGUUCUUCUAUUUAUUAUAUUUAAACUGUAAAUUUUGAUGUACAUUCCGAUCAAUUUGCAAUGUCUAUUGGUGUAUACUUGAGCUGUAAAUAAUGAUUGUAUAUUUUCAACAAUUAUUGGGGGCCGGGGGGGUGUACAGUGAGGUCAUUUAUUGUCGCUUCGCAGAAUGUCAGAGUGCGCGUGUGUCCGUUUAGUCCAAUAUGUCCGAUCCGUGUCGGUUUUUGUGGUGUUGAAGUGUCGUCGUGUGUUGACGGGGCGCGUUAGCGGUCACCGUGUUUGGGCGUUCACAGUGGCAACUUGACGAAACUAUCCGUGCGAUAGAUGGUUUCCAUUUUAUCGUGCGGGUGAAACUUUACGAGCGAAGAUGAAAUAAUAAAAGGAUCGCUUUGAUGAAAAA